rnacentral:rRNA from 1 species
UAUUGGACAAUGGGCGCAAGCCUGAUCCAGCCAUGCCGCGUGGGUGAUGAAGGCCUUAGGGUUGUAAAGCCCUUUCGGCGGGGAAGAUAAUGACGGUACCCGCAGAAGAAGCCCCGGCUAACUUCGUGCCAGCAGCCGCGGUAAUACGAAGGGGGCUAGCGUUGCUCGGAAUCACUGGGCGUAAAGCGCACGUAGGCGGCUUUCUAAGUCAGGGGUGAAAUCCUGGAGCUCAACUCCAGAACUGCCUUUGAUACUGGGAAGCUUGAGUUCGGGAGAGGUGAGUGGAACUGCGAGUGUAGAGGUGAAAUUCGUAGAUAUUCGCAAGAACACCAGUGGCGAAGGCGGCUCACUGGCCCGAUACUGACGCUGAGUGCGAA